rnacentral:misc_RNA from 1 species
AUCGUGUCGCUCCACUCCAUAUUUCCCAAUUGGGUUUGUGGCGUUUUGGGGCGGAGAUUGGUCUCCUGUGCUGAUGGUGCGGUUGGCCUAAAUUAGAGUCCCCAUUUGCGGACACACGGUUAGUGGUGGUUGAAUAGACCUUCGUCUUUGGCUGUGUGUGUUGAGCUGCUUGGGAAGUACUAAUGAAAGACCCUAAUAUCGUCAUUAGACGA